ensembl:lncRNA
AUGAUAGCUGCCACGAUCUGCCAUCAUGGAUGUCAGCACCCCUAUAGCACUGGUGGGCAAGAGUUGGUGCAUAAUCCUUCUCCUACAAUCCCCACAGGAAGGAACAGUCGAGUCCAUAUUUUAAGCCCCAAAAGGAAAAAAGUAUUCAUGUUUAAUGGCUGUUUUUGUGUUUAUGUCUUACUUUUUUUGCAGCAGAAUUGUGAUGCCAGUAAACCGACCGUGUGUAACUGGAGUCACCAGUGUCUGCUGAAGGUCAUCGUUCCCUGGAGUCAUUCCUCGCUCAGUUCACUGUACACGAGUCAGAACAUGAUCCAAGCAGAGAGACUACAGGGUCAUGUUGUCACAGCAACACAACGUUGGUUGUACAGUAAGAAGACCGUCUGUGUGUUUGCACGUACUGUAUGCACUUUAACUAUAACAUGUGAACUGACUGAAACAUAGCAAAUAAUAUAAAUUAAGUUACAGAAUAUCUAAGCUGCAAAAUUAAGUUAAAUUUCAGACUUUAACUUUAUUAGUUUUCUUUUCUUCAGCAGGAACAAACUAGUUCUGCCAUUUAAACUACUGAAUAGAUAUUGAAAAGCACUCAGAUGUACAAGUAUUAAUUCUAGUGUUUAUCUUCAGCUGCUAAAGUAAAAGAAACUGUUAAAUCAAGUUAUUUGGAUUUACUUUUCCUUCCUAAAUUAACCUUAUUACACAGUUUACUAUUGCUUUAGAAACAGAAUAGAGCCGAGGACGGAAAAUCACAUUAAAAACAUCCUAUUACAUCAAUACAGCAAAUAUCAUCGCAUCAGAACAAUUACACAACAAUUAAUACAACAUAUACACAAUGUACGGCAUAUAUUCAAUGCAGUUUGUUCGUGGAGUUUAUUGCACUAUAUGAAGUAAAGAUUCCUUAUAGAUGUUUUUGUUUUCCAGGGGUACUCUGAAGCGUCGCCCUGAGUGGAGCAACGCAGGCUCAGUGUACGAGGUGGCGUUUAGUGCUUUCCUAUAUGUACUGAAACUGAACUGUAUGAAGCUAAUUGUUUCCUUUCUCAUCAAAUACAUUUAAAAAAGAAAAUUUGCUUCCAUUUGUAAUAUCAGUUGUUCUGGCAGGAAGUGAAGUAUUUCAAUAAAAAAUGGGAAAAUCUGGAGCCCUAAAUUGCAAAUGAUGAGGUUAAUUGAAUUAAUGAGCAUUUUAUACCGAUUAAAAUCUGCAGCUACUGGAAACUGAUAACCAAUCUCAUCCAAGAAAACCGCAUCAGCAGUAGUGCCAGUGGAGUCUUUUACCACUGACUUUGUGUUAUAAAUACUUUAUUCCACAAGUGAAGGAAACAUUAUUAGCUCGAUUGGAACAUGAAAGAAACAAUAAAAAACAAAUGAGAAGCUGAUAGGGAUCUGUGGUAAACUUGGCAGACAAUUUCCUCUCCUCACCUCUCCCAUGAGUAGCAGCACCCACCAGAGCUAGAGGCGUCCCACUGGGAGAGCCUCUCUGUGGUUAUCAUACCCCAUCUAGUGGCUGCACUGGGUUAAAGGAGCGAAGAGGAGGAGGAGGAGGACAGUGUCAGCAGCAUUUUUUAGACCUCGACUGCAGCUGCUCUCUGCACUUAUGUUUAUUCAGUUAAAUAAUACAGAUCGAUAGAUAGAUAGAUAGAUAGAUAGAUAGAUAGAUAGAUAGAUAGAUAGAUAGAUAGAUAGAUAGAUAGAUAGAUAGAUAGAUAGAUAGAUAGAUAGAUAGAUAGAUAGAUAGAAAGAAAGAAAGAUAGAAAGAAAUCAAAAACGUCUUGCUUUGGUUGAAACAUAAUAGCGACUUUGGAUGCAAAUGACUGUAAAAUUAAAAGAAAACAGAGACAUAAUUUAUUUUAAUUUGAUUAUAUGUUUAAAUGUCUCAUUAAGGAGAGCUUCAAUAUGGUCUGACAAUAUAGUAGUGCAAGACACAACAGUCCUGUAGGUGCAAAUUGAAUUUGAUUUAGGGGGAAAGAAAAAAAAAAGGCUUAUGGAGGUGUUGAGACUGAAGCGGUACGCGGUUCAUGUUACAGAGAUAUGAAGCCAUAAGAAUGUGUGAAAGCAAUGCCCUCUAGAUCCCCUCUUUUCACAACCCUAUUAUCCAAUUGAAAACUGAUCUUCAGCGAACUCCCAUUGUGUGCCUCGCUCAGAGAAUAAAUGCACCAAAAUUGAUCUCAGGUCUCUGAAGUGGGCCCGCAGAGCUGGAGUUUACACAUGGGACCAUUUUAUUCACUUCUGGUGGCAAUUUACAAACAUGCAAAACUGCGAGCUCACCACCGCAACCUGUGAGCCAAAUGCAGGAGUUCCACCUGUCUCAUAACCUUGUUGGAGCACAAUUUUCCUGCCUGCAGAGAAAGAGGAGGAGGGGGAAAGAAAUGUUGCUGUGACAAUGUCAAACAAUGUGUGUUAACAAUUCAACUCAGUACAGUGGGAAUGUCAUGCAGAAAGAGCAGCCAGUUGGAAGAUCUGCUAAUGUAUUGUGACUCCUGCUGUCAGCAGUUCAACUCUACACUCUCUUCCUGUAAUUUUCAGCCAUCUCCACUGCACUGAUACCGUUUCAAAAGCCUGCUCUCUAUCACUCAUACUGAAGCUGUGGGGGCUAUUAACUGUUUGCUCCGGGUUUGAUGUUUUACAUUGUAUCAGAGCAAAGAAAGAUGCUUUCAAAACACGCCCGUGCGGCCCAGCUGAAUUAAAGAUGCUCCUGUUGAAAGGAUGAUCAGUCUGUUUUGUGCCACAUUUAAGGUCUCCUUGUGAGUUCCAGCUUGUAGUCACAUUUUUUUGAAGAUACAACCUGGCAUUACUUACAAAUGGACUCUGUAACAAAGCAUACUUCUGGCGACUGUUGGUUUUAUUUUAGAAAUCAAGCAUCAUCUAACUGUUUUAUGCCAUAGCAACAAAUUAAACAUGUAAUUACUUGUAACUUAUGUCGGAUUUCUUGUCUGUAUUUUAUGUUUGUCCAGCGAGUAAAGAUGCAAGUCUCUAAGCAAUGUAAAAAGCCCAGUUCACAACAUAACCACCACUAUAAUGUAAGCAGAUAUAUUUACAUUUUAAGUGUUUAUUAAUGCAUUUGUCAACAACUAUAACUCCUUCUAUGAACCAUAACUGGUGUUACAUUAAACCAACAUAUAAUAUGACACGGUUGUAAUCAAACUGUGUCUCCAUAUUUAUUGGAUUUUAUUAACAAUAAAUAUUUAUAUAUUGAAUGUACAUUUUUAGUAAUCAUGAUAUUUUGCUAGCCACAUUAAGACAGUGGGGUUUCCAUGGUAAUACAGUAUACCACAGCAGUUAACUAGCUUUAUGGGCAAUGUGUGUAAUGGCAAAACCAGUUCAAAUAAAAUGUGGUGUACCACAAGGUUCUAUUUUAGGACCCUUAUUAUAUCUUAUCUCUAUGAAUUUUCAUUAGUUUUUAAAUCUCCUUUUUAUUAUUGUGCUCGCUGAUGAUACCAACAUGAUUUUUGAUCACAUAUUUUAUUCUGUAUGCUAACAUAUCUGUAAAUGGAGCAGAAAUUUCCAUACUUACUCUGGUUUCUCAGGCAUUUUGGUUGAUGAUGAGAAAUUCAACAGAAAAAAACACAUUGAUUUCACUUGUAAUGAAACACAACAAGGUUUGAUUAACGUGUUUUGUUUAUUCACUCUGUAUUAUUCCAUCAUGUAUUCCUAUAUAUAGUAAUAUUGUUUGGGCCCAUUCAUACUCCUCCUAUCACCGUAAGCUUCAUGCAAUGCAAAAAAUAUUUAUAAAAUAGGCAAUUUUCUCAAACUCAGUAUAAAUGGAUGCUUGAAAGGAUUUAUAAUUGUUAAAAGGAGUUAUAAUUAUUGACAAAUACACUAAUAAACACUUCAGUAUGUCCAUAAAGCUGCUUACAACUACAUUAUAAUGUGUUAUAAAUAAUUUAUUACAGGUUUAAACGCUUCUAAAUGCUAAGGGACUGCAUGAAAAUGAUUGGGGUCAGGAGGUGAUUUUUAGUGGAACCUACCUCUGACUUACAAUACUCUCCCCUCAAUAUCUCAAAUACAACAAAAUAGUGAAAAUACAGCCAAUGAAUGAAUCUGCAACGCCUCUAAUUGAAAUUUUCCAUCCCAGAAUAGAUGUGGUUGAAGUGUUACCACAAUACUAUUUACCGCUCUAUUAGUUCGUUCAUGUGCACUGAGCUUGGAAAUUCCUACAUUUCUGAUAGCGCUUGAAGUAAGCAUCAGUCCUACUCUUGACCAUACCUCAGAGUCUGAUUUAAAACAAAGCAACAGGAGCAUCAGGAAUGAGCUGUAAAGGCACUCUGAUAGGUGAAAAGCUGUCACAAUCCCUAUUGUAUGGCUUAUAAUUAUAGAGCCCUCAGCUGUUUCAACCUAUUUCCUGAGCAUCCUUUUAAUCAGCCCAUAACCACCAUUUCAUUUGUUCAUCCAAUGGGUGAUGCAAUCCCUGAAGCCAAAGCUCUCUAUUCAUUAGAUUGUUUUAAUGUGCCUGAAAGCAGUUGUGCAAAUAAACAAGCCGUUACAGUGAAAAGAGAGGAAUCCCUGACUCUGUGCAUUAACCCAGGAGGGACUACAAUUCCAACUUGUGCCUUUUAUCUUAUUAAUCCCACGCAACGUCAUUUUGCAGGUCCCAGAAAAGGACUUAUAAAUUGCGUCUAAUAGGCUUCAAAUCAAGCACUAAUUAAAACUGCAUUAACCUUAAUGAAUCAGAAAAAUUGAGACCCCAAUUUAUUGGAGUUGUGUUUAUACAAGAGCUGGUUUCAAUAAUACAUGACGCAACCGGCUGUGUGGGAUGAGCCCGUCUUCCUAAUGCGAACCUCCUGUGAGCGUGUGAGGGUGUGUGUGUGUGUGUGUGUGUGUGUGUGUGUGUGUGUGUGUGUGCAUCAGUGUGUUUUGGCCCUCGUCGUCAUUACAGGCCUUGUUAGAGGUUAACUUUAGCAACAUUCAGGCAUCUUUAGCGCCGCGGAAGGAGACGGAGCCGCAUGGUGCCAAUCAGCGUCACAGGUGUUCAUAAUUGUCUGUCUAAUUGCUUCAUUACUGGUGAGGAGGCCUGAGCCCCGUCUGCGCUUCCACCACAUCUGGAUUUUGGGAAGCCCUCUCCAGCUCAAAUGAGAAGCCUCUCUUGAGUUUUAACAUGUAUCUGCUUGUUGCCGUGAUUUCCCAGGAGCGCGUCAUUUAUUUGUACGCCGAUUCUGACUCAAACGCCUUUAAUGGAAAUUCCCAUGGCUGUUGGGGGUGGAGCACUUAUGGCAAUUUGUUGACAGGGAGGAUUCGUGUUUUGCCGUGAAUGAAUGUGAA